UAUAAACAGAGCAGUUGGCUACUACAUAAACCCCAUCAAAUGAAAUGGCUGAUCAACUCUGCUAACCCACUACUAAUCAAGUCACAGGUCACAAGAAAAUAAUUAAAGGCAACAGCAUGAGGUGUGGCAGGAAGCUCGCUUGCCAAAGAUGAUGUGAGCUACAGAGUUUGAGGCCUGAAGGACACAUGGGCACCCAAUAAAAUGGAACAAGUAAUGUGUACUUGUUUGAGAACAAGUCUCAGGAACAUACUGGUAACUUGCAUGUC